UUUAGUGUCCCCUGGUCUCCAGCUGUGUGCGUCACUCUUUAGUGUCCCCUGGUCUCCGUUGUGUUUUGAACUUCUGCAUGCCAUGUUUCCUCAAGACAUUCUAAAAAUGUUGACUUAAUAUUGAAAUUCUAAAAAUUCAACAAGAAAAUCUGAACAUUUUCUGAAAAUCCCCCCAAAACAUGUUGGGAUAUAAUCUCUGUAUGUUUCCUCGCCCCGGUGCACGGAGGCUUCUGUAAAAAACAAGAUCACAUGUGGACGUUUUUUUCUCCCCUGCAGCUCCCUCGGUCCCCCCCGAGGAGGAGGCGGAGCUAGCGAAGGAGGCGGAGCUUGUGGCAGUGACACGUCAGCUGGUGGCAGAGCGUUUCUCUGGUAACCCCGCCUACCAGCUGCUGAAGGCGCGCUUCCUGUCCUGCUUCACUGUGCCCGCCCUCCUCGCCAGCCUGCAGCCAAUCAGAAAGAAGACUGUGCCAGAGGAGGAGGAGGAGGAAGAGGAGGAGGAGGAGGAAGAGGAGGUAGAGGAGGUGUUGAAGAGGAUCAAAGGAAGAAAGAGGAGAGGAAGGAGAUCUGUCCUGCUGGAAGACGGGCCUGGAGCUCCAGCCAAUCACUUCUCAGGGAUCCAGACCAAUCCAGACCUUCAGGACACUGUCCACUGAGACCUCACAGAUACAGUCUCCUCACAGGACUCUGUCCACUGAGACAAUGGUGUGUUCAGGAACAUCAGGAAAAAAUGUGAAAAAUGCACCGUCUGUGGUGUUUGUUUUUUUGUUGUUCAAGUUUUAUACAGUUUUCUGUAAAUUAAAAGUUAUAUUGAGAAGA